rnacentral:rRNA from 1 species
UGGCAGGGGGGAGACUUG